rnacentral:piRNA from 1 species
GAGGUGGAAAUGUAGGUCAAUUA